GACGAACGCUGGGGGCGUGCUUAACACAUGCAAGUCGAACGGUGAAGCAGGAGCUUGCUCUUGUGGAUCAGUGGCGAACGGGUGAGUAACACGUGAGCAACCUGCCCUUGACUCUGGGAUAAGCGCUGGAAACGGCGUCUAAUACUGGAUAUGUGAUGUGACCGCAUGGUCUGCAUCUGGAAAGAAUUUCGGUUGGGGAUGGGCUCGCGGCCUAUCAGCUUGUUGGUGAGGUAAUGGCUCACCAAGGCGUCGACGGGUAGCCGGCCUGAGAGGGUGACCGGCCACACUGGGACUGAGACACGGCCCAGACUCCUACGGGAGGCAGCAGUGGGGAAUAUUGCACAAUGGGCGGAAGCCUGAUGCAGCAACGCCGCGUGAGGGAUGACGGCCUUCGGGUUGUAAACCUCUUUUAGCAGGGAAGAAGCGAAAGUGACGGUACCUGCAGAAAAAGCACCGGCUAACUACGUGCCAGCAGCCGCCGUAA
rnacentral:rRNA from 1 species